UACGGGGGGAGCAAGCGUUGUUCGGAUUUACUGGGCGUAAAGGGCGCGUAGGCGGCGUGACUAGUCAGUUGUGAAAUCUCCGGGCUUAACUCGGAACGGUCAAGUGAUACUGUCGUGCUAGAGUACAGAAGGGGCAACUGGAAUUCUCGGUGUAGCGGUGAAAUGCGUAGAUAUCGAGAGGAACACCUGCGGCGAAGGCGGGUUGCUGGGCUGAUACUGACGCUGAUGCGCGAAAGCCAGGGGAGCGAACGGG
rnacentral:rRNA from 1 species